AAAAGUAAACAACUGCAGUAUAUUCUCUAGAUAAAAGAACUUAGAUUACAGGUGUUAUAAUAAACAAUGGCAUGGGAUGUUCCAAUUUGCAGGUAUAAUAUAUCAUGUAUCAAUGAUAAGCUAAUUUGUGUCUUACAUACUUAACUGAUGUUAAAAAUUAAUCACGCCGAGCUCACCUGUUAAUAAAUACUAAAUUAUGCAAAGAUGAUAAACAAAAUCUAAUUAGAAACAGUUAAAACUUUCCCACAUUCGCAUUUUAUUUAUUUUAACACCAAAGAAAUACUUUUGCAACCUAUAGACUACUGCUCUGCGAGAAAAAAAUGAAGGAACUGUUUUGCAGUUGCAUAUGGUAAUUUGCGGCAACGCUUAAAUAAUUGGCAAACUGCAUUACCAAACAACGAUUUAGUAUCUAAAAAAAUUAUUUGACAAAAAAAUAAAGAAUUACAUCGUACAUGUCGUAUAUAAAAAGGCAC
rnacentral:lncRNA from 1 species